rnacentral:tRNA from 1 species
GCACCCGUAGCUCAAUUGGAUAGAGCGACAGUCUACGGAACUGUAGGUUACACGUUCGAGCCGUGUCGGGUGCA